CCGGGGAAGUCCCAGCGGGGCCGCAGGGCGUCGACGCGGAUACCCGCGGCCAUGGCCGCCUCGUAGCUCCGCAGGAAGGCGCGCAGCUCCGGCAGACUGAUGUUGAAGAUGCGGCUGAAGUUGUGGAGAGUCCGGUUCCAGCGGAGCUGCGCCGCCGCCUCCGACGGGCUCUCGAGGGCCGAGAAGACGGUGGCGCCGGCACUCAGGGCUACUUUCAGCUGGGAUCCAGUCUCCCACAUGUUCCCAGAAGCACUCGCCUUGCUGCAGCAGAGAAAUGUCUUUUUUGGAGCUGGGAGCCCUGGACCUCACACUUCCACAGAGAAAACCAUUCAUGGGAAUGGGUCUUACUGUUUCACAUCCAUCCUGCAUUUGGCAGGAGAAUGGAACAAUCCGAGGACGGUCCUGUAUGAUCUUGAGUUUUUUUCAGCAGAAGGGAAGACAUGUCAGCAUCACCUGAGAACUGUCAGUGGGUCUUAGACAUGACAAGAUCAUAGAAUCAUAGAAUGACCUGAGUUGCAAGGGACCCACAAGGAUCAUUGAGUACAACUCCUGCCCCUGCAUAUGACAACCCCACAGUUCACACCAUGUGUCUGAGGGUGUUGUCCAGUCUCUUCUCGAACACUGUCAGGCCUGGGGCCGUGACACCUCCCUGGGGAGCCUGUUCCAGUGCUCCAGCACCCUCUGGAUAAAGAACCUUUUCCUAAUGUUCAACCUGAACCUCCCCUGGCACAUCUUCCUGCCAUCCCCUUGGGUUCUGUCAUUGGUCACCAGAGAGAAGAGAUCAGCACCUGCCCCUCCUUCUCCCCUUGUGAGGAAGCUGUAGCCGCCAUGAGGUCUCCUCUUAAUCUCCUGAAGGCUGAACAAACCAAGUGACUUUAGCUGCUCCUCAUAUGGCUUCCUCUCCAAACCCUUCUCCAACUUUGUAGCCCUCUUCUGGACACUCUCUAGUAGUUUAAUAUCUUUUUUAUACUGUGGCACCCAGAACUGCACACAGUGCUGCAGGUGAGAAUGUACUAUUUGAGCUCAGCUUGGUGAGAACUCUUGCCAGAACAGGGUCUGUUCUGCAGGAUGAACCAGCUGGCUGAACAUGCAGCAUGCUGUGCACUUUGUAGGAGCUAUCUGUGGAUCGCACCUGCGUUGUGCUUACCCUCAAGUAAGAAAAUGUUACAUUUGUCAAAGUUUAGUCUUCCUAAAAUUAGGCUUUCCUGAUUCAACCCGUGAGUCAGAUAUAAAAAAAUGCAGUUUAUUCUGAUGGCACUUCACAAAGAUUGGACUCAUGGUGGCCCAGUCACAAUUUUCUCUGGUUUGGUAUUACAAAACAUUAUCUUUGUUCUGAAUUGAAAUUUUUGCAAGCAUAGAGCAUCCCCAGUCAUCUGCAUUUCUGGUCAUGAAGAAGAUGGAGCACUACACCAGUGAUUGAUACCAUGUGUAUUAAUUCCAUGAAGCAAAUUCUCCUACCUAUGAUCAAGAGCUAAAGUUUAAGGGGGCCAAUGCAAUACAGAAACUGUCACCUUGAUGUCAGUUUGUGGAAACUUAUGCUAUGGUGUGACAACCUUGAAGCACUCCCCCAUGCUUAGCAGAACAAAGACCUUGUUAUGCCUUAAAGGUCUGGUUUUUGUUACUUUGGGAGGAAGAGAUAGAUGGCACUUCAUCUUAUCUUUCCUGAAGUUUUAUGGCCGUGAAGGCAGACACCUUGGAAGAUAAGGACAAUUAACAGUGUUGCUAUGAAAGGCCUCAUGGCCUAAUUGGGAUGAUAGAGAUGAACCAUCUGUCGGACAACCAACUACCAGAAGAAACCACGAACCAACAGCUACCCCUGACGGGCAAGACAACUCACUUCUGGUCAAUACUGUGAACUUUCCCCUAGUUUGAAGACCCCAUACCCAUUUCUAGAAGAGUCUUCCUAAUUAGCAUGAAGAGCGAGCAGAGGGAGGAGAUGAACCGCCUUCUCCUAUCUCGCAUGUAAAUGAACUGGGUUAUAAAACAACCUCACGUACGAUACAGGUUGGCGGCGUGUAAAUCUUCAGCGCGUCCCCCCCCUCCGGAGGUUGUUGCGGGAUAGAUGUACCUGUGGAGUGGUGAUAUCUUACUCUCCCUCUCUGCCUCUCUCUCUCUGCCUUUCUCUUUCUGAUAUCUUAGUUUUCCUCUUCUCUCUCUUCCUUUCUCUUAAACAUAUAAAGUAAUAUCAUUUUCAGUUCUGCUGCUAAAGUCUUGUAAAGUUUUGCAUUACAGUUUACUAAUUGUUGCCAAUCCACCGUUUUUAGAAGGGUUUUUGCUGUCAAUGUAUUGAUAAGUUUUGUGGUACUAUAACAUACUUUUGCCAAGUCACUGAUUGCUGUAAUUUGUAUACUACCAUGUGCUUUUAGUAAAUUCACAAUUGGACUCCUGGA